CUGGGCAGGGUCAUUGGAGGUCGCCGCAGGACAUGUGUGACUGCGCCUGCGUUGGUACCUUAUCUGUUAACUUGGCUUUGCAGUGCUUUUUGCCUGCAGGAACACCCGGUGGAAAAGACCCGUCGAGGCCGACGGGUGAUACAGAAGAGGGAACUGAGGCCUGCCGUAGGGGAACGAAAUUGUGUAUUUCGUGAAGCUCUUUUGCUCCACUGCGUCCUUCACAAGAUAAGCUUUUUGAGCUGUGAAGUAUAUUCUUGUCCUUCGUUUACAUAUUUGGUAACUGAGGCUUCGAGGGCUUGUUACUGGACUUUUAGGACGAAAUAUUCGGCUCCAGCGGUCCCAACAGACCAUACACCGCCACCCGUCCAAAACACCAGCGAAGGACUUGAGCAGUAUUGAUGGGCAGGAAAGGAGCUGUAGUCAGCGUGGCCAACGCUGGGAAGGACAGAUGAAAAAGCCUCAGGAUCCGUCUUUGAGGCGCUGACAGAAACUUUGUGGUUUUAUAGAUGAGGGAAACAAAGACAAGGGCUAGGAGUUUGCAUAGCAGUCAGGCCCAGGGAAACCAACCUGGAUAUCCAUGCCAUAGGAGGAAGAAGCUUUUGAGGACCUUCAGAAGAAGAGAGCGCACUUUGCAUGUGGGAAACCUCGACUCCCUGGCUGUCCGAGGGCCAGUAGCAUUAGCAACCUCUCAGAUGGCCUCUACUCUUCGUAUCGUCUACUUGUGACCAUAUGCUGGGACCAUACCGGUGAUCGAACUCAGGACCUUGUGUUUGCGAGGCAGGAUGAAGAAUUACAGCUUGGUCAGGUGCCACGAGCAGCCAGGUUCCAGCACAAAGACUGGCCUGGGAAGAGGCCACGUGGAGGAGAGAACAGUGAAGCAAGGGGCCAGGGAGAGUGACACUCAAAGCCUCUUGUGGAUUUGAGACCUGUGGGCUCUCUAUUGUCUGUGCUGGGCUGAGUUUCUGUUACCUGCAACCCCAAGGGCUCUAAUAAAGCUUCUAUUCUUUUUUUUUUUUUUUUUAAAGCUUCUAUUCUUGGCCAUUAAGAUAUUUAUGGUGAAACUAAACCCAAAGCUGGCCAGAGGAAAGAAAUAAUAGAAAUGAGAGUAGAGAACUGAAUAGAGAACAGAAAGAAUCAACAAAACAGCUGAUAAGCCUUUAGCUGGACUAAGAAACACAGAGAAGAUGCAAAUAACCAAAAUCAAAAUUGAAAGUGGAGGGCUGGGGAUUUAGCUCAAUGGUUCCGCCGCC